rnacentral:rRNA from 1 species
AAGUGUAAAUAUUAUUUGCCUGGGUACUAUUAGUUAAGAUCUUAAAACCCAAAGAAUUUGGCGGUACUCCAUUCCAUUCAGAGGAACCUACCCCGUGAUUGAUAGUACACGAUUAACUUUACUUAUUUAUUUGUUUGUAUAUCUCCGUUAUCAGAAAAUCUUUUUAGAGUUAUAAUUUUCAGAAUUCAUGAUUUUGAAGUAUUUCAGGUCAAGGUGCAGCUUAUAAUUAAGAGGAGGUGGGUUACAAUAAAUUUUGGUUUAUUACGGUUUCAAUAAUUAAAUAUUAUAGAUUAAGGUGGAUUUGAUAGUAAUUUGAUUUAUUUAAGUCUUUUGAUAUUGGUCUGGAGU